rnacentral:rRNA from 1 species
GGGGUGAUGGCCUACCAAGGCGACGACGGGUAGCCGGCCUGAGAGGGUGGACGGCCACAUUGGGACUGAGAUACGGCCCAGACUCCUACGGGAGGCAGCAGUGGGGAAUAUUGCACAAUGGGCGCAAGCCUGAUGCAGCGACGCCGCGUGAGGGAUGACGGCCUUCGGGUUGUAAACCUCUUUCAGCAGGGACGAAGCGUGAGUGACGGUACCUGCAGAAGAAGCACCGGCUAACUACGUGCCAGCAGCCGCGGUAAUACGUAGGGUGCGAGCGUUGUCCGGAAUUACUGGGCGUAAAGAGUUCGUAGGCGGUUUGUCGCGUCGUUUGUGAAAACCCGGGGCCCAACUUCGGGCUUGCAGGCGAUACGGGCAGACUUGAGUGUUUCAGGGGAGACUGGAAUUCCUGGUGUAGCGGUGAAAUGCGCAGAUAUCAGGAGGAACACCGGUGGCGAAGGCGGGUCUCUGGGAAACAACUGACGCUGAGGAACGAAAGCGUGGGUAGCAAACAGGAUUAGAUACCCUGGUAGUCCACGCCGUAAACGGUGGGUACU